GUAAACCUCACCCUUGAGUUUGAGCCCAUCCACAAAGAUCAGUCCAUCUUAGUGUCUCGUCACUCUGUUAAAGACUAUGUUCUCUUCGCCUACAGGGAUGGAGGAGAAGCAGCAAUAUUCAAUGCUAAAGGUGGAGUUGUGUCAGUCACAUUGAAAGCUCAGCACCCUGCAGCAUCUAUACAGGCUGUAGAGAUCAGCUCUCAGUAUUUACUGCUCUUCUGCAGAUACCCAUAUAAAAGACAGAGUGAAAUCAUUCACAUUGAACUCUUCAGCACAGCAUCUUUCCAGUACCUGCGCUCUAUCUUGGGUUGCAGUCAGGACUACAUUUCCCAGGUCACCAUUGCAGGGGGCGGGUCCCACAUUGUGGCCUUUUGUCCCACCCCUCACAGCGC
rnacentral:lncRNA from 1 species